rnacentral:rRNA from 1 species
UGAACGCUGGCGGCAGGCUCUAACACAUGCAAGUCGAGCGGAUGAGAGGAGCUUGCUCCUUGAUUUAGCGGCGGACGGGUGAGUAAUGCCUAGGAAUCUGCCUGGUAGUUGGGGGAUAACUGUUCCGAAAGGAACGCUAAUACCGCAUACGUCCUACGGGAGAAAGCAGGGGACCUUCGGGCCUUGCGCUAUCAGAUGAGCCUAGGUCGGAUUAGCUAGUUGGUGAGGUAAUGGCUCACCAAGGCCGACGAUCCGUAACUGGUCUGAGAGGAUGAUCAGUCACACUGGAACUGAGACACGGUCCAGACUCCUACGGGAGGCAGCAGUGGGGAAUAUUGCGCACAAUGGGCGAAAGCCUGAUCCACCCAUGCCGCGUGUGUGAAGAAGGUCUUCCGAUUGUAAAGCACUUUAAGUUGCGGAGGGAAAGGGCAUUAACCUAAUACGUUAGUGUUUUCGACCGUUACCCGCACAGAACUAAGCCACCCGG